GAGUUUGAUCCUGGCUCAGAACGAACGCUGGCGGCAGGCUUAACACAUGCAAGUCGAACGGGUGUAGCAAUACAUCAGUGGCAGACGGGUGAGUAACACGUGGGAACCUUCCUAGGGGUACGGAACAACUCAGGGAAACUUGAGCUAAUACCGUAUACGUCCGUGAGGAGAAAGAUUUAUCGCCCUUAGACGGGCCCGCGUCGGAUUAGCUAGUUGGUGGGGUAACGGCCUACCAAGGCGACGAUCCGUAGCUGAUCUUAGAGGAUGAUCAGCCACACUGGGACUGAGACACGGCCCAGACUCCUACGGGAGGCAGCAGUGGGGAAUCUUGGACAAUGGGCGCAAGCCUGAUCCAGCCAUGCCGCGUGAGUGAAGAAGGUCUUCGGAUUGUAAAGCUCUUUUGCCAGGGACGAUAAUGACGGUACCUGGAGAAUAAGCCCCGGCAAACUUCGUGCCAGCAGCCGCCGU
rnacentral:rRNA from 1 species